AGAGCGAACGCUGGCGGCAGGCUUAACACAUGCAAGUCGAGCGGGCGUAGCAAGUACGUCAGCGGCAGACGGGUGAGUAACGCGUGGGAACGUACCUUUUGGUUCGGAACAACCCAGGGAAACUUGGGCUAAUACCGGAUAAGCCCUUACGGGGAAAGAUUUAUCGCCGAAAGAUCGGCCCGCGUCUGAUUAGCUAGUUGGUGAGGUAAUGGCUCACCAAGGCGACGAUCAGUAGCUGGUCUGAGAGGAUGAUCAGCCACAUUGGGACUGAGACACGGCCCAAACUCCUACGGGAGGCAGCAGUGGGGAAUAUUGGACAAUGGGCGCAAGCCUGAUCCAGCCAUGCCGCGUGAGUGAUGACGGCCUUAGGGUUGUAAAGCUCUUUCGCUCGGGACGAUAAUGACGGUACCGAGAUAAGAAGCCCCGGCUAACUUCGUGCCAGCAGCCGC
rnacentral:rRNA from 1 species